GACCGCGUAGCUCAGCUGGAAGAGCAUUGGGCUAGUAUUCCAAAGGUCGUAGGUUCGAAUCCCGCCGUGGCCA
rnacentral:tRNA from 1 species